rnacentral:misc_RNA from 1 species
CGCCUUGAAACCGAAGAUCCCGACCAGCACGUUGGGCAGCGCGGGAUUGAAGAUCUGAAACAGGCCGAAAACCGCGGCCAGGAUGAG